rnacentral:rRNA from 1 species
GUGGAUUAGAUACCCUGGUAGUCCACGCCGUAAACUAUGAGAACUAGCCGUUGGGGCCCUUGAGGUCUUAGUGGCGCAGCUAACGCGAUAAGUUCUCCGCCUGGGGAGUACGGCCGCAAGGUUAAAACUCAAAUGAAUUGACGGGGGCCCGCACAAGCGGUGGAGCAUGUUGUUUAAUUCGAUGCAACGCGAAGAACCUUACCACCCCUUGACAUCCUCAGAACUUGUCGGAGACGACUUGGUGCCUUCGGGAACUGAGUGACAGGUGCUGCACGGCCGUCGUCAACU